rnacentral:rRNA from 1 species
UACGGAGGGUGCAAGCGUUGCUCGGAAUUAUUGGGCGUAAAGGGCAGGUAGGUGGUCUCAUUUGUCUGGGGUGAAAGCCUUGAGCUUAACUCAAGAAGUGCCCCAGAAACGGUGAGACUGGAGUUCUGGAGAGGGUCAUGGAAUUCCCGGUGUAGCGGUGAAAUGCGUAGAUAUCACACAGAACACCGAUUGCGAAGGCAGCUGGCCAACUUGUAACUGACGCUGAGGGACGAAAGUGUGGGGGAUCAAACAGGG